ensembl:processed_transcript 4933439K11Rik RIKEN cDNA 4933439K11 gene
CACUGUCCCACGUAAGGCUCACCAUGCAGAGUGGAUGGAUACAGAGAGCUUCCUUCCGUCUUAUAGAUUGUGCACCUGUUUAGCGCGGCCCCAAGACUAGGGCUGUGCAUGUCACACACACGAAGACACUCGUGGACUGGGCUUUCUGAGCAGGUCUCGAUUCCGCCAGUCAACAGUCUGAAAGUUCAGGAUCUCCUGAUCAGAAGCAGGACGUCCAUAUGCAGGCUGCACUGGAGGCCACGCUUUUGAAAUCCUGCCAGCAAAAGGAAGAGAUCCUCAGAGGAGAAGAAGGCAAGGCAUAUAGCUACUGACAUGCUGGUAUAGAGAAAAACAGAGGCAGGAGGUAGUACAGUGUGACCAGCACUAGCCUGGAUUCAAGCUGUCUUUCAAGAACGGAGAAUAAGGGGCUGGAGAGAUGGCUCAGUGGUUAAGAUCACUGACUGCUCUUCCAGAGGUCCUGAGUUCAAUUCCCAGCAAUCACAUGAUGGCUCACAACCGUCAGAAACGGGAUCAGAUGUCUUCUUCUGGUGUGUCUGAAGACAGCAACAGUGUACUUGCAUACAUUAGGUAAAUAAAUAAAUAAAUAUUUAAAAAAAGAA